GAUGAACGCUGGCGGCGUGCCUAAUACAUGCAAGUCGAGCGAACGGACGAGAAGCUUGCUUUUCUGAUGUUAGCGGCGGACGGGUGAGUAACACGUGGAUAACCUAUCUAUAAGACUGGGAUAACUUCGGGAAACCGGAGCUAAUACCGGAUAAUAUUUUGAACCGCCUGGUUCAAAAGUGAAAGACGGUCUUGCUGUCACUUAUAGAUGGAUCCGAGCUGCAUUAGCUAGUUGGUAAGGUAACGGCUUACCAAGGCAACGAUGCAUAGCCGACCUGAGAGGGUGAUCGGCCACACUGGAACUGAGACACGGUCCAGACUCCUACGGGAGGCAGCAGUAGGGAAUCUUCCGCAAUGGGCGAAAGCCUGACGGAGCAACGCCGCGUGAGUGAUGAAGGUCUUCGGAUCGUAAAACUCUGUUAUUAGGGAAGAACAUAUGUGUAAGUAACUGUGCACAUCUUGACGGUACCUAAUCAGAAAGCCACGGCUAACUACGUG
rnacentral:rRNA from 1 species